rnacentral:lncRNA from 1 species
UGAGACUGGGGCCUCGCUCGCUCCCGACCCGGUUGCAAGUGUUGCGGUGGGAGAAAGUCGCGUCCGCAUCGGAGGGGAAGCGCCGUCAUGCCUAAGUAUUAUGAGGACAAGCCGCAGGGCGGCGCGUGCGCGGGCCUGAAGGAGGACCUGGGCGCGUGUCUGCUGCAGUCGGACUGUGUGGUCCAGGUAGCGCGGCCGGGCGCUCCCGGUGGUGACGACCCCUGUCCCAGGCAGGCCUGGCUCGGCGGAGGGCAGCGGGUCGCCCGCGGCGGCGGUUGGAGUUAACCAUCCCGGGCGUAGGUCACAGCUCGGGCUCACUGAACGUGCGCAGAUCCACUGAGCUGUCGGAGCCCCAGUUCCCUGUGGGGUUAAAUCGGAGAUAACGAUAAACGCACCCUGUCGGGUUUUUGUAAAGGUUAACCCAUUUCAGUUCACGAAGCCUUUAUUGAAUGCUAGCACUCUACUAGGCUUUGGAGACAUAAAGGAGAAUAAGCCAGGUUUCUUGCCUGCCUAGAAAUGAUAAUCUGUAGAAUUAAUGAUUCCAGAGAGUUGCGUAAACCUGGUACACUGCCCUGGCCAGUAGUGUCUCCUGCCUGUUCAGUUGUGACAAUGUGUGCUCAGUUUGACUUGUGUUGAUGUGAAUUUGUUUCUGAGUUACAGUUCUCUGCAUUCUUGGAUGUUAAGUUGUAAAAAUAAGGCAACUCCAUAUUUUCACGAUUUCGUAUCUUGCUUCCCCUACACUCUUCCUUCACUCCCCGGCUACAGACACAGGUCUCCUCAGCACCCUCUUGGAAUGCACUGAAACAUGUAGUGAGGUUCACAGUGGACCUGAGUUCUGGAUUAGAGCUCAAGUAAAGCACAAGUGCCUUUUCCAAUUGCAGAGGCCCGACGAGAGGGCAUUCAAUUGUGUGCAAUUGUCUUUGCAUUGGGGGAUGUAGUUUCAGAAAGUUGCUGUUAUUUCAGAGAAAAGAUUACCCCCAAAUGGACAUCCACUGUAAGACUGUACCAGUGUUUCUACCGAGUCACAAUUUGUUUGGUUCACUGAUUUUAGCAGUCAGCCAUUCUCGCCUCCCAAUGUCUAGUAAAACUUGAGUUAUUAUAAAUUUAAGAGAUUAUCUCGCCCAACUUCCUUAUAUAAAUGAGGAAACUGAAGUACCGUUGUUUUCAGGCUCCCCUGUCCAGGGCUGUGUCCCUUCUGCCCCUUACUCACUGGUGCUGCCGUUCAGCCAGCUCCUGGUAAAUGCCUCUUAAGUGGCAGGCAUGGUACCUGACACUGGUGAUAACGAAGAUGAAUCAGUAACAGUCACUACCCAUGUAAGCUUGGUGUCAUGGGAGAAAUAGACAUCUAAGGGUCUAAAUUCCUGCCAUAAGACUGUAAGCAUUUAUUAAACAUGUGUUUAAUGACUAGAUCUUGAGGAGAAAAAUGCGUUAGCCCAAGGGAGAGCGUCUGAUUUUGCUUCAGAAUUUGGAAUCUUCUGAGAUGACAUUUGAGCUGAGUCUUAAAAGUUGAGUAGUAGUUUAUCAAGUAAAGGAGUGGGAACUGUUGUGGUUGUGGGGAAAAUCUGAAAGAACAGCAAGUGCAGAGGCAGGGAGAUGUGGGAGGGCGCAGAGGAGCUAGUGUCCUGCCAUAGGGGAAUGCGACAGAAGGCCUGAGGGGAAGGUUGCAGCCAGGUGUGAAGGCCUGUAUGUGUGUCAGAGUGAGGAGACUGGAUUUUAUCCAGACGUUCAGCAUCGGAAGGCCAUGUUGAUGAGUAGUCAAGGGAAGAAAGUACACUGAGUAGGACUGAGGAAAGAAACUCCAAGUGGAGGACAAUAGCAGCAGCACAGAGAAUUCCAAGCUGGCUUUCUGCAGCGGUUGAUACAGCAAACAUGUACGGAGCGCCAGGCUCCAGUUCAGGGAACAAAUACUGAUGAAUGGAACAUGGUCUCUCCAGUAUAGAAAGCGGAGCUGUUUGGCUAGAAUGCUGUAGGCAGAGAUUAUGGUUGGGACAGCUGGUACAGACUUUGCUUUUCCCGCCAUUGAAUAUGUGGCCUUACCAGUGCUCAGUUUGGUCAGCCAGAAAACGUGAUGCUUAUAAGCAGUUCUUUAGAUGGAAGUUCGUAUACAGUUUGUGUUAAAUUCAUUCUGAAUGCUGACUUCAGCUGGAUUGUAAAAGGGCAAUAGUGAGGAGGUUUGCAGGUCCAGAACAAUCUCCUACAAUCUGUUGGCAGCUACUGCCCACUGCUCCUCACUGGGGACUCUGAAAGACCAAGGAAAGCUCUGCUGAGGUCUGUGCUUGCUCUGUGUGGCAACCUUAAUUAUGAUGGAAAUUUUUGAUUUCUUAAGUUCUUGAAUAAAAAGGUUAAUCUGAUCCUAUGGCAGGUUGGUGCUGUAGUCUCUUCUUGCCAGUCUUUAACCCACCUGAAACCUGCAGCACCUCGCUCUAGGGAGGAAUUCAACAUAAACAUGUAUUUAGUUCUAGGUGCUGCUUUGGGAGACUGUCAAGGAGUUAGAGGGCCUCAGAGAAACUCAGGGUAAUGGUAAGGAUGUAAAUUCCAGUGGGGCUGGAGGAAAGCAGGGAAAAAGCAGAUUCAAAAGGCAUCUCUUGAAGAGACUUCUUAGGAUUUAAUGACUCCUGGAUGAUCAGGACAAUGAAACUCUGCCAGAGGAACUUCACUCAUCAUAGGGUAUCUUCGUCUCCACUAACAGCUUCCAGAUCCACUGACUCUUCAUCAGAAUCACCUAGAAGUGGUGUGGCUUUUUAAAAGUACAGAUUCCACUGCUGCCCUCACCCUACCCCCAAUAAGUUAAAAGUUUCUUUCCUAGGUUGGUUUUGGGCACAGCCAUGUUUGAGAGCACUGACUGAUCUUGACCUCAGAAGGCAAAAAAGCUUGGGAGUGUAUUAGUUAGAAUAUAGAUUCAAGUGCAUGUUACAGAGACCCAGAAUAAUAGUGGCUUAAACGAGAUAGAGAACUUUCUCUUUUGUCCUUGUGCCUAUAAUCAGGGCCUAGUCAUUUCCCUCAGUCUUCCAUGAACGCAGACACUGUUGAUCUUGUGACUCUGUGCUGUGAAAAUAGGAAAAUAUAGCAAGUAGGGUGUUACUCUCAUAUUCAUGGUCCAAGACUGGUUUGCUUCCACAUCAUCAGGCCCGGCAACCUUAUGGAGUGAAGUGAGGAAAGGGGCAAGCCUCUUUAAGGACCAACCCAGAAGUUCUACACCUGUUUCCCACACAUUCCAGUGGCUAGAACUUAGUCACAGGACCACAGCUAGAUGCAAGGGCGUCUAGGAGAUCUCACCCAGCCAUAUGCUGGAUAAAAAGGAAGAGCAGACAGCUAGCAGUCUGUUAUUUGGGGUGGAGUGGAUAACGAAUGACUGUCUCUUAGCUUUAGUGUAUCUAGAUGGAUCUUUACCCCAGGCAGUUGACAAUAUAGGUUGAAAGCUUUUGAAAAAGGUAGCAUCUUAGAUACAGUUUGAAGAGGCAUCAGCUUAUAAACUAUAGUUAUAACCUUUUAUAUGGUUAGUCUUCUUUUGUCUGCCUCCACGUCGUUCAUGUGGGCAACACAUCCCACCAGCAGAAUUGCAGAGUUUGGAGAGGAAGGAAACCUGCUACUCUUAUCCACUUUUGAGAGUCACUGAGGUAGAUGACAUUUGAUAUCUAGGACCCAGGCAGACAUACAGACUGGAAGGUGGCCAAGACUCCUGGGGAACAGGAAUACCACAGACAUAGUACCCUGUAGCUUUUCAUAGGAAAAACUGGCAGAGCGUGCCUGGCACUUGCAACAUAAAGGUUCUGGGGAGUGGCUGCAGUGAUGCGGCUGUAGAGUCAAAAUCUGCUUGAGGGAAAAUCCCUGAUUAUGCAGAGCAGAUGAGCUUUGGGUUAUAUUUUUUCUGGUGCAUGAAUGGGCCACAUGUUUCUAUUUAAGUAGUAUUCCAGCCUGCCUUGUUAAUAUCUUUGUGAAGUGUUUCGUGCCAACACUAAAAAUAUUCUGAUUUUAGGGUACCCAGUUCACACAUUUCACCCAUAAGGAAAUGAAGAUAACCCUUUCUAGAUUUUUAUAUAAACAGUUUAAGGAAAAGUAUCCAAUAGAAACCAGUGUUUUCAAGAAUUCAACAGUGUCCUUAAAGUUCCCAAGUUACUUUACAAUUUUUUUUUCAUUCUUUAGGCACCAAUAGCCCAAAUGAAUUAAGAACUAUUUCCUACAUAACUUUCUAUUUUCCUCCUUUAACACUUUUAAAAAGGACUAUUUUCAGAAGGACAAUUAUUUUGUACUUUGUGAGAAAAUUUCCAAGGUGUUUAUAUUGUUUUAUGUGUCUGUCAUAGGAAGGAAAAUCACCUCGGCAGUGUUUGAAGGAAGGAUACUGCAACUCUUUGAAGUACGCAUUUUUUGAGUGUAAAAGAUCAGUGUUGGAUAACAGGGCAAGAUUCAGAGGAAGAAAAGGAUAUUGAUGCAUUAUGUUGAAGCCAACAUGGAAAACAACAAAUAUUUUCCCUGGUCAUUAACACAAAGAAGCCAAAACAGGAAACAUACUUUUUACUACAUCUGUUUGGUUGGACCAGAUUUCCCCUCCGUGGAACACUGAAGAAAGUGGAUGAGUUGUUUUCGAAUAUGUAUAAAGUAAAUGAUUCUCUUGAUCCAAGUUAUUUUUAGAAGAAAAACCUAAUUGAACAGGUAUGGGUUGGGAGCAUAAUAAAUGUGUUUUGAGAAUUGUUCUAAAGCACAGAAAAUGGAAAGACUGUUAUUUGCAAACUUGACUCUUCAAUUGAAUUACCCAAUUAGUACAGGCCACUGAUUUGACUGACACAGUCGAUAACAUGCAGCCUAUCCAGAAGGUGUCUGUUGGGAAAGUUUAGGAUAAAACUUUUUCUUUAGUUCAGUCUUUUCCUGUCUAGUUCUAAAAUGAAUUGUGUUUGAUUCCUUAGAGAAGAAAUACUUCAUUUGUGCUCUGAUUCACUGAAGUAAUAACCUCAGCACUUUAAUAGCGUCCACAGGCAUAGCUGAUGCUAGGCCCCAGAUUGUGUUGCCCAGGCUCUUUACCAUCAUCUUCGGACUGUUUUUGUUUCCUGGUUACAUUUUCAGUCUGGCCCGCUCUACAUAAUGGGCCAGUGUCAGCUCCAAGUCCACAUCCUUAUUAUCCAUGAUUCAAAAGGGAGAGAGAGAACUUCCUUUUUCAGGGUCCACAAAUCAAAUCUAUAAAAGGACUCUGGUCUUCCCAGGAUCACCUGCCCUUGCAUUGGACCAGUCCCUGUGGAAGAGGGGAUGGGGGCCUGUGAUCUUGGCCAGGCCUGGGCUAUCUAUCUGCACUGUCAUUGCUAACUCCUGUCAGAAUCACAUGGAUGAGUAGUGGGCUGAAUCCCAAAAGGAAAGGGGUUUAGAGCAAGUGGAAACAACAGAUGUUCACUAUAGAAAGCAAGAAUGAAAACCAUGAAGUGGUUGAAGAUUAGCCUUACAGUAAUUUUAUUCUGAUCACUUAAUACAGUAGAGUCAAACAGGAAUCCAAGUUUCCAACUUUAUUAUUUUUGGCACUGAAGAAUUACAAAGAACUCUAGCGUCUUUAUACCUCCGUGGUUCACUGGAGUUAAAGCAAUCGGGGCGUUGUACAGCUCACUUGAGUUUUUAAAGGUUCUACUAAAAAGUGAGAAUUCCACAGCAAUAUGGGUCAUUGUUGCAGAAUAUCACAAAGGUCUGUUGUGUAUACUCCUUUUCACCAGGAAAGGGACAAUAAUAGUUUUUUUCAAUGUAUAUAUAUAUAAGUGAUCUAACUUUUUAUUAAUAAAAGUAAACAACUCUAAAAUGU